CUAGGGGCCAUAGUGCCUAGAGGGCCAGUUAAUGGCUAUAGAGGUUCUAGGGGCCAUAGUGUCUAGGGGUCCAGUCAAUGGCUAUAGAGGUUCUAGGGGCCAUAGUGUCUAGGGGUCCAGUCAAUGGCUAUAGAUGCUCUCGGGGCCAUAGUGUCG